rnacentral:lncRNA from 1 species
UGAGCAGUCAGUUCAUGUGUGGUAUUAGUGUCGCGCAGUGCUUUUCUUAUUCUUGAAAUAUUUAGUAGCAGGGGUACAGGUGUACCCCUGCUAGUUACCGUAGCAAAUUAUUAUAGUUUUUUGCGUUUGCAUAAGACACAAAAUGACUUCUCAACAAAAGUGUUUCUAUUUGACAAAUCCGAAUGAUAUCGACGAAAUACAUCGUAUCCUCUAUGAUUCUGAGUUAGACGACUCUCCGAGUGAUAGCGACGAGGCAGACCUAAUUAUUCCUGAUUUUAGAGCCGAUCCAGAGGAAAACGAGACCUCGGAAAAUGUCGAGGCCAUUCCAUCCACUUCAGUUUGCUAUGAUUUUGAAGAUGAAUCCGAUGACGAUGGCUCAGUUAAAACGCACGUAUAAAACCAAAGUUAAAAUUUUACAGGUUCCUACUCAACUACAAGGAAAAAAUCAGUAUAAGUGGUCAGGAGUGAAAGGAAAAUCAGUUCGUCGUACACCAAAAAGAAAUCUUGUUCUACAUUUACCUGGAAACAAAAACGAGUUAAGGAAUCUACAGUCAGGGCUAGAAGCUUGGAAGUUAUGUUUUAACAUGGAAAAUUUAAUUCAAAUUACAGAAUAAACUAACAAAGAAAUAGAACUUGAAAGAAUAAAUUAUGGAGAAAAGAAACUCAAUAAUCAGGCCGAAGAUCCUAACACAGCUGUCUCGACGGCUUCUUCAUUUACUAAAAACACCGACAAUAUUGAAAUUCAAGCCAUCUUUGGUUUAUUUUAUUAUGCAGGAGAUAUGAAAAUAAAUGGUGUAAAUACCAACGAACUUUUUGAUAAAGAUAGUGUUAUACCAAUAUUUCGAGCCACAAUGCCAGAAGCGACGAACAAUUGGUUGGAUUUCGAGGACGAUGUCCAUUCAAAAUGUACAUUCCUUCAAAACGAAACAAAUAUGGUCUUAAGCUUGUGAUGUGCUGUGAUACUAAAACAGCUUUUGUACUUGAUGCUGAAGUUUAUGUAGGUAAGGACUCCACACCACGGGAUGUUCCUGUUGUGUUGUGAUGCCCAGUACUAUUGCGACGAACUUACCUCUUCCUUUCAAGGAACGAAUAGAAAUUUGACUAUGGACAAUUGGUUCACCUCUAUAGAUACAGCAAAAAUGCUUUUAGAUAAAAAGCUUACUAUUAUUGUUGGUACAUUAUGGAAGAACAAAAAAGAAAUUCCAGGAUUUUUUAUGGACCUUAAAGUUAGAGAAAUAAAUACAGCAAUGUUUUGCUAUAGUGACGAAUUAACACUUUUAUCUUUUUGUCCACCGAAGAAUAAAAAAAAAAUUGUUUUAAUGCUAUCCACAAUGCACGAAAAAGGAGAUGAGCAACUUUCAAUAUAUUCCGGAAAUAAUUAAAUUUUAUAAUUCAACCAAGGGGGGAGUAGAUAGAUACCUUGGAACAAUUGUGUCACACAUAUUCAACUAACAGAAAGACUCGUCGUUGGCCCUUAUGUCUAUUUUAUAAUUUGUUAAAUAUUGUGGGGUACUCGAUGAUCCUUUUAAGAGAAAAAGAAAUUGUAACCAAGAGAAGAGCUUUCUUGAAAAAACUAGCACUUGAUCUAAUAAAACCUCAAAUGGAACGUCGUUUGGAAACUCCAACUUUGAGGCGCGAACUCCGGCAAACUAUUUGCAAUGUACUAAAAAAAAAAAGAUGUAGUGGAAGCAUCAACAAAACCAGAGCCUACUGUAGGUCGAUGUGCAUUUUGUUUAGGAAGCGACGAUUGAAAAUCUAGGGUUAGUUGCAACGUAUGCAAAAAAUUUAUUUGUUUACAGCACCAAAAGAAAAUAUGCCCCACUUGUGCAGAAUAAAAAAUAAAACAAAUUUUUGUAAAAAUAAAUAAAUGUUUUAAAUGCUUUUUAAA